GUCAGUGUGUCCGAGAGGUCUAAGGAGUUGGGUUUAUGUUCCAAUGGGUCUUACUGACCUUCGCGGGUUCGAAUCCUGCCGCUGACG